rnacentral:rRNA from 1 species
CAGUCGCCGCGGUAAUACAGAGGGUGCGAGCGUUAAUCGGAAUUACUGGGCGUAAAGCGCGCGUAGGCGGUUACUCAAGUCAGAGGUGAAAGCCCGGGGCUCAACCCCGGAACUGCCUUUGAAACUAGGUGACUAGAAUCUUGGAGAGGUCAGUGGAAUUCCGAGUGUAGAGGUGAAAUUCGUAGAUAUUCGGAAGAACACCAGUGGCGAAGGCGACUGACUGGACAAGUAUUGACGCUGAGGUGCGAAAGCGUGGGGAGCAAACAGGAUUAGAUACCCGGGUAGUCCCUGUCUCUUAUAC